CAGUCGCCGCGGUAAUACGUAGGGUGCGAGCGUUAAUCGGAAUUACUGGGCGUAAAGCGUGCGCAGGCGGUUGUGCAAGACAGAUGUGAAAUCCCCGAGCUUAACUUGGGAACUGCAUUUGUGACUGCACGGCUAGAGUGUGUCAGAGGGGGGUAGAAUUCCACGUGUAGCAGUGAAAUGCGUAGAUAUGUGGAGGAAUACCGAUGGCGAAGGCAGCCCCCUGGGAUAACACUGACGCUCAUGCACGAAAGCGUGGGGAGCAAACAGGAUUAGAUACCCCUGUAGUCCCUGUCUCUUAUAA
rnacentral:rRNA from 1 species